GGAUGUGAGGGCGAUCUGGCUGCGACAUCUGUCACCCCAUUGAUCGCCAGGGUUGAUUCAGCUGAUCUGGCUGGCUAGGCAGAUGUCCCCUCCCUCCCUUACUGCUCCAUGUGCACCCCUCCCAAAGCUGCAUGCUUAGUGGAAGAGGAUGACCAUCCCAGAUAGAAGGAGUAUACCGUUCUUUGAUAAAGGGUGUAUGAUAGCUGCGCUCCCCUGCUAGAACCUCCAAACAAGCUCAUGGUAGAGGUGUAUAAGGUCAUGCUUGGUGUGGAGAAAGUGGAUAUAGAGAAGUUUUUCU